GCUCGUGUGGUCUAGGGGUUAUGACGCGGCUUUCACACAGCCGAGGUCGCGAGUUCGAUUCUCGCCUCGAGUA